UACGUAGGGUGCGAGCGUUGUUCGGAAUCACUGGGCGUAAAGGGCGCGCAGGUGGCUUUUCAAGCGCGCGGUGAAAGCCCGGGGCUCAACCCCGGGUCGGCCGUGCGGACUGGGAGGCUUGAGCACUGUAGGGGCGGGUGGAAUUCCUAGUGUAGGAGUGAAAUCCGUAGAUAUUAGGAGGAACACCGGUGGCGAAGGCGGCUACCUGGACCGAUAUUGACGCUGAGACGCGAAAGCGUGGGGAGCAAACAGG
rnacentral:rRNA from 1 species